GGAUAGAUGCCCGAGUGGUUAACGGGGACGGACUGUAAAUUCGUUGACAAUAUGUCUACGCUGGUUCAAAUCCAGCUCGGCCCA
rnacentral:tRNA from 1 species